GGGUUGUGAGGUUAAGCGACUAAGCGUACACGGUGGAUGCCCUGGCAGUCAGAGGCGAUGAAGGACGUGCUAAUCUGCGAAAAGCGUCGGUAAGGUGAUAUGAACCGUUAUAACCGGCGAUGUCCGAAUGGGGAAACCCAGUGCAAUUCGUUGCACUAUCGUUAACUGAAUACAUAGGUUAACGAGGCGAACCGGGGGAACUGAAACAUCUAAGUACCCCGAGGAAAAGAAAUCAACCGAGAUUCCCCCAGUAGCGGCGAGCGAACGGGGAGCAGCCCAGAGUCUGAAUCAGCUUGUGUGUUAGUGGAACGGUCUGGAAAGUCCGACGGUACAGGGUGAUAGUCCCGUACACCAAAAUGCACAGGCUGUGAACUCGAAGAGUAGGGCGGGACACGUGGUAUCCUGUCUGAAUAUGGGGGGACCAUCCUCCAAGGCUAAAUACUCCUGACUGACCGAUAGUGAACCAGUACCGUGAGGGAAAGGCGAAAAGAACCCCGGCGAGGGGAGUGAAAAAGAACCUGAAACCGUGUACGUACAAGCAGUGGGAGCACCUUCGGGUGUGACUGCGUACCUUUUGUAUAAUGGGUCAGCGACUUAUAUUCUGUAGCAAGGUUAACCGUAUAGGGGAGCCGCAGGGAAACCGAGUCUUAACUGGGCGUUAAGUUGCAGGGUAUAGACCCGAAACCCGGUGAUCUAGCCAUGGGCAGGUUGAAGGUUGGGUAACACUAACUGGAGGACCGAACCGACUAAUGUUGAAAAAUUAGCGGAUGACUUGUGGCUGGGGGUGAAAGGCCAAUCAAACCGGGAGAUAGCUGGUUCUCCCCGAAAGCUAUUUAGGUAGCGCCUCGUGAACUCAUCUUCGGGGGUAGAGCACUGUUUCGGCUAGGGGGUCAUCCCGACUUACCAACCCGAUGCAAACUACGAAUACCGAAGAAUGUUAUCACGGGAGACACACGGCGGGUGCUAACGUCCGUCGUGAAGAGGGAAACAACCCAGACCGCCAGCUAAGGUCCCAAAGUCAUGGUUAAGUGGGAAACGAUGUGGGAAGGCACAGACAGCCAGGAUGUUGGCUUAGAAGCAGCCAUCAUUUAAAGAAAGCGUAAUAGCUCACUGGUCGAGUCGGCCUGCGCGGAAGAUGUAACGGGGCUAAACCAUGCACCGAAGCUGCGGCAGCGACACUAUGUGUUGUUGGGUAGGGGAGCGUUCUGUAAGCCUGCGAAGGUGUGCUGUGAGGCAUGCUGGAGGUAUCAGAAGUGCGAAUGCUGACAUAAGUAACGAUAAAGCGGGUGAAAAGCCCGCUCGCCGGAAGACCAAGGGUUCCUGUCCAACGUUAAUCGGGGCAGGGUGAGUCGACCCCUAAGGCGAGGCCGAAAGGCGUAGUCGAUGGGAAACAGGUUAAUAUUCCUGUACUUGGUGUUACUGCGAAGGGGGGACGGAGAAGGCUAUGUUAGCCGGGCGACGGUUGUCCCGGUUUAAGCAUGUAGGCUGGUUAUCCAGGCAAAUCCGGAUAAUCAAGGCUGAGGUGUGAUGACGAGGCACUACGGUGCUGAAGUAACAAAUGCCCUGCUUCCAGGAAAAGCCUCUAAGCAUCAGGUAACAUCAAAUCGUACCCCAAACCGACACAGGUGGUCAGGUAGAGAAUACCAAGGCGCUUGAGAGAACUCGGGUGAAGGAACUAGGCAAAAUGGUGCCGUAACUUCGGGAGAAGGCACGCUGGUGUGUAGGUGAAGUCCCUGCGGAUGGAGCUGAGACCAGUCAAA
rnacentral:rRNA from 1 species